rnacentral:rRNA from 1 species
GACGAACGCUGGCGGCGUGCUUAACACAUGCAAGUCACGGGGGCGUCGCAAGAGCAACCGGCGAACGGGUGCGUAACACGUGAGCAACCUGCCGAUCUGAGGGGGAGUAGCCGGCCCAACGGCCGGGUAAUACCGCAUACGUUCUCGAGGGGGAGGUCCUCUUGAGAAGAAACCUCCGGGGCGANAUCGAGGGGCUCGCGGCCUAUCAGCUAGUUGGUGAGGUAACGGCUCACCAAGGCAUCGACGGGUAGCUGGUCUGAGAGGAU